UACGACCACAUCACGUUGAAUCACAUGUUCCCUUACGAUCAACGAAGUUACGCAACGUCGGGCUCACUCAGUACCAAGGUGGGUGAACUCCUGGGAAACCAGUCACUGUAA